rnacentral:rRNA from 1 species
AUUGAACGCUGGCGGCAUGCCUUACACAUGCAAGUCGAACGGUAACAGGUCUUCGGAUGCUGACGAGUGGCGAACGGGUGAGUAAUACAUCGGAACGUGCCUAGUAGUGGGGGAUAACUACUCGAAAGAGUGGCUAAUACCGCAUGCGAUAUACGGAUGAAACAAGGGGAGCGCAAGACCUUGUGCUACUAGAGCGGCAGAUGGCAGAUUAGGUAGUUGGUGGGAUAAAAGCUUACCAAGCCGCCGAUUAGUAGCUGUUCGGAGAGGACGAUCAGCCACACUGGGACUGAGACACGGCCCAGACUCCUACGGGAGGCAGCAGUGGGGAAUUUUGGACAAUGGGCGAAAGCCUGAUCCAGCAAUGCCGCGUGCAGGAUGAAGGCCUUCGGGUUGUAAACUGCUUUUGUACGGAACGAAAAGCCCCGGGUUAAUACCCUGGGGUCAUGACGGUACCGUAAGAAUAAGCACCGGCUAACUACGUGCCAGCCGCCGCCGUAA